AUGAAAAUAAAAUUUGGAUUUUUUUUGUUUAUUUCACUUUUCCUUCUUAAGAAGGAUUUGUAUAUUUAUGGACGCUAUGAGUCUUCUAUAAAAGAUCAUAGUAGUACAUUAAAUAUACCAUUUACGAAUAAACAAUCAGAAGAUAAUGAAAUAUUUAAUCAAAAUUUCGAAAAAAUAUUUAAAAAAAACAGAAAUGCUAAUACAAAUAAUAAAAAUAAUGAAAAUAAUGAAAAUAAUGAAAAUAAUGAAAAUAAUGAAAAUAGUCAAACCGAUGGAGAUGAUUUGAAUUUGAAUAUUGUAGAAGGAAAUGAAGAAUUUUUAACAAAACAAAUAUUAAUGGAUUUAUCAGGCAAAUUUAUAGUAGAUGUUAUAAAUGAUCAUACGAUGCAAUUUUUGGAAAAUUUAAAAAAAGAAAAAAAUGAAGAAUCAGUAAAUUCCAAUUCUAUAGAAGAUAUAACAGAUAACGACAUUAACUCCAUUGAAAACAUUGAGAAUAUUGAAAACAUUGAGAAUAUUGAAAACAUUGAGAAUAUUAACCCUAGUAAAGAUACAGAUUUGAAUAAAAAUAAGGAAGAUGACAAUGCCGACGAAUUUCAAAUUGAACUUGAAGAAAGUUGCUCACCAUUUGCUUGUGAAAAAAUUAUGAUUGCAAGAGAAAUAAAAAAAGGUGAAGAAACAAAUGAAUUAAAAAAAACAGAAUUGGAUGAAAAUAAUAUGACUUAUAAUGACACAAAUAACAUACAAAACUUAAAGGAUAUAAACGAAAUAAACAAUACUAGUAACAGUAACGACAGUAAUAACAGUAACGACAGUAAUAACAGUAACGACAUUAAUAACAGUAACGACAUUAAUAACAGUANNNNNNNNNNUAAUAACAGUAACGACAUUAAUAACAGUAACGACAUUAAUAACAGUAAUGCAAAAUCAAAUGUUGAAGCAUUUUAUAGUAAAUCAGUUGGAGAUGAUAUAGAAAAUAAAAAAUUUAUAGUAACUGAUGGAGAUAGUAUAUAUAUAUUAGAAGAGAUGGAUGAAAGUAACGAUAAAAAUAAUGAUGGGAAUGAUAAUUUAAUAUUAAAUAAAAAUAAAGAAGAACAAGAAAUUAAAAUGCAUUUACCUACUGACAACUCACAAUUAAAUAAAGAAGAACGAGAAGAAAUGGAAAAAUUUUUAGAACAAUUAAAUAUGGAAUUAUUAAAUGAACAAAAUAAAAAUGAAACAAAUGAAGACACAAUUGAUAAUCUUAAAACAGUACAAACAAAUGUUGAAAAAAAUAUACGUGAACAUAAUAAUGCUGAUAUAGAAUUAAAAAAUAAAAAAAAUGAAGAUAUUUAUCAAUUGUUUGAUGGAGAAGAUUUGAAUGAUAACUUUUUAAGUAAUGAAUUAUUACAUUUAAAUGAAGAAGAACUAACAAAAAAAAUAUUUGAGGAUAUACAAAUGAAUAAUGAAGAUAAAAUACAAUGCCAUAAUUUUUCGAAUGAUGAAAACAAAUGUAACUCUUAUAAAAAAUGUACUUAUGUAAAUAUUGAUAAUAAUGAUUUAUGUUUUUUAGAUUAUAAUUAUAUGUUAUUUUUAAAAAGAAACAAUUGUGCAUUGCAAUCGAAAUCGGCUCUUUUAUCCAUAUCCAAAGAUUUGUUAAAGUAA
ensembl:lncRNA